rnacentral:rRNA from 1 species
CAGUAGCCACGGUAAUACGGAGGGUGCGAGCGUUAAUCGGAAUUACUGGGCGUAAAGCGUACGCAGGCGGUUUGUUAAGUCAGAUGUGAAAUCCCCGAGCUUAACUCGGGAACUGCAUUUGAAACUGGCAGGCUAGAGUCUCGUAGAGGGGGGUAGAAUUCCAGGUGUAGCGGUGAAAUGCGUAGAGAUCUGGAGGAAUACCGGUGGCGAAGGCGGCCCCCUGGACGAAGACUGACGCUCAGGUACGAAAGCGUGGGGAGCAAACAGGAUUAGAGACCCGCGUAGUCCCUGUCUCUUAUAC